rnacentral:rRNA from 1 species
UGUAAACGAUGUCGAUUUGGAGUUUGUUGCCUAGAGUGAUGGGCUCCGAAGCUAACGCGAUAAAUCGACCGCUGGGGAGUACGGCCGCAAGGUUAAAACUCAAAUGAAUUGACGGGGGCCCGCACAAGCGGUGGAGCAUGUGGUUUAAUUCGAUGCAACGCGAAGAACCUUACCUGGUCUUGACAUCCAUAGAAUUCUGCAGAGAUGUGGGAGUGCCUUCGGGAACUAUGAGACAGGUGCUGCAUGGCUGUCGUCAGCUCGUGUUGUGAAAUGUUGGGUUAAGUCCCGCAACGAGCGCAACCCUUAUUCUUUGUUGCCAGCGAUUUGGUCGGGAACUCAAAGGAGACUGCCGUUGAUAAAGCGGAGGAAGGUGGGGACGACGUCAAGUCAUCAUGGCCCUUACGACCAGGGCUACACACGUGCUACAAUGGCGUAUACAAAGGGAAGCGAAGGUGCGAGCUGGAGCGGAUCUCAUAAAGUACGUCCAAGUUCGGAUUGGAGUCUGCAACUCGACUCCAUGAAGUCGGAAUCGCUAGUAAUCGUAGAUCAGAAUGCUACGGUGAAUACGUUCCCGGGCCUUGUACACACCGCCCGUCACACCAUGGGAGUGGGUUGCACCAGAAGUAGAUAGCUUAACCGCGAGGGGGGCGUUUACCACGGUGUGAUUCAUGACUGGGGUGAAGUCGUAACAAGGUAACCA